ACGGCCCAGACUCCUACGGGAGGCAGCAGUAGGGGAAUCUUCCGCAAUGGACGAAAGUCUGACGGAGCAACGCCGCGUGAGUGAUGAAGGUUUUCGGAUCGUAAAGCUCUGUUGUUAGGGAAGAACAAGUGCGAGAGUAACUGCUCGCACCUUGACGGUACCUAACCAGAAAGCCACGGCUAACUACGUGCCAGCAGCCGCGGUAAUACGUAGGUGGCAAGCGUUGUCCGGAAUUAUUGGGCGUAAAGGGCUCGCAGGCGGUUUCUUAAGUCUGAUGUGAAAGCCCCCGGCUCAACCGGGGAGGGUCAUUGGAAACUGGGAAACUUGAGUGCAGAAGAGGAGAGUGGAAUUCCACGUGUAGCGGUGAAAUGCGUAGAGAUGUGGAGGAACACCAGUGGCGAAGGCGACUCUCUGGUCUGUAACUGACGCUGAGGAGCGAAAGCGUGGGGAGCGAACAGGAUUAGAUACCCUGGUAGUCCACGCCGUAAACGAUGAGUGCUAAGUGUUAGGGGGUUUCCGCCCCUUAGUGCUGCAGCUAACGCAUUAAGCACUCCGCCUGGGGAGUACGGUCGCAAGACUGAAACUCAAAGGAAUUGACGGGGGCCCGCACAAGCGGUGGAGCAUGUGUUUAAUUCGAAGCAACGCGAA
rnacentral:rRNA from 1 species